GCCCCUGUAGUGUAGUCCGGCCAAUCAUGCGAGCUUUUCGAGCUUGCGACUCGGGUUCAAAUCCCGACGGGGGCA
rnacentral:tRNA from 1 species